rnacentral:rRNA from 1 species
GACGAACGCUGGCGGCGUGCUUAACACAUGCAAGUCGAACGGAAAGGCCCUGCUUUUGUGGGGUGCUCGAGUGGCGAACGGGUGAGUAACACGUGAGUAACCUGCCCUUGACUUUGGGAUAUCUUCAGGAAACUGGGGCUAAUACCGGGUAGGAGCUCCUGCUGCACGGUGGGGGUUGGAAAGUUUCGGCGGUUGGGGCUGGACUCGCGGCUUAUCAGCUUGUUGGUGGGGUAGUGGCUUACAAAGUUUUUGACGGGUAGCCGGCCUGAGAGGGUGACCGGCCACAUUGGGACUGAGAUACGGCCCAGACUCCUACGGGAGGCAGCAGUGGGGAAUAUUGCACAAUGGGCGGAAGCGUGAUGCAGCAACGCCGCGUGCGGGAUGACGUCCUUCGGGUUGUAAACCGCUUUCGCCGGUGACGAAGCGUGAGUGACGGUAAUGGGUAAAGAAGCACCGGCUAACUACGUG